CUUCCUGAUCCACGACUGGGUUUCCUGGUUCACCGUGAGACUGGUCCCUCUCCUGCCCAGCUUGACUGCAGAGAUGCUUCAGACAGUGACAUCAUACACAGACUGCAACGCGUACCGCGUCGUCAUCCGUGCUCUGAGCGGCGUCUUUGACCAGAUUACUUCGCUAAGACAGCAGGAGCUCGCCCCAGUCAUGUUAGGCUACCUGAAGCAGCAUUACCCAUGGAGCUCAAGCUGUUGGUCCGGCACCGGCGGCCUUGGCGCUUG